AGUGAACGCUGGCGGUAGGCCUAACACAUGCAAGUCGAACGGCAGCACAGGAGAGCUUGCUCUCUGGGUGGCGAGUGGCGGACGGGUGAGGAAUACAUCGGAAUCUACUCUGUCGUGGGGGAUAACGUAGGGAAACUUACGCUAAUACCGCAUACGACCUACGGGUGAAAGCAGGGGACCUUCGGGCCUUGCGCGAUUGAAUGAGCCGAUGUCGGAUUAGCUAGUUGGCGGGGUAAAGGCCCACCAAGGCGACGAUCCGUAGCUGGUCUGAGAGGAUGAUCAGUCACACUGGAACUGAGACACGGGCCAGGCUCCUACGGGAGGCAGCAGUGGGGAAUAUUGGACAAUGGGCGCAAGCCUGAUCCAGCCAUACCGCGUGGGUGAAGAAGGCCUUCGGGUUGUAAAGCCCUUUUGUUGGGAAAGAAAUCCAGCUGGCUAAUACCCGGUUGGGAUGACGGUACCCAAAGAAUAAGCACCGGCUAACUUCGUGCCAGCCGCCGCGGUAA
rnacentral:rRNA from 1 species